UGUGAAUUGCAGAAUUCAGUGAAUCAUCGAAUCUUUGAACGCACCUUGCGCUCCUUGGUAUUCCGAGGAGCAUGCCUGUUUGAGCGUCGU
rnacentral:rRNA from 1 species